rnacentral:rRNA from 1 species
UUACAGUCAUAUCAAGUUGAAACAUCGGUUCUCAUAGGAUCACUGAAAUUAAGCAAAGUCGAGCCUGGCCAAUGCCUAGAUGGGUGACCGCUUGGAAAUACCAGGUGGUGAA